rnacentral:rRNA from 1 species
GACGAGCCCGCGGCGGAUUAGCUUGUUGGUGGGGUAACGGCCUACCAAGGCAGCGAUCCGUAGCUGGUCUGAGAGGACGAUCAGCCACACUGGGACUGAGACACGGCCCAGACUUCUACGGAAGGCAGCAGUGGGGAAUCUUGCGCUAAUGCGGGAAACCGUGACGCAGCGACGCCGCGUGAGGGAAGAAGGCCUUCGGGUUGUAAACCUCUUUCAGGAGGGACGAAGCUACUCGGGUUAAUAGCCCAGAGGGUGACGGUACCUCCAGAAGAAGCCCCGGCUAACUACGUGCCAGCAGCCGCGGUAAUACGUAGGGGGCAAGCGUUGUCCGGAUUUAUUGGGCGUAAAGAGCGUGUAGGCGGCUUUACAGGUCCGUUGUGAAAACUCGAGGCUCAACCUCGAGACGCCGGUGGAAACCGUAAAGCUAGAGUCCGGAAGAGGAGAGUGGAAUUCCUGGUGUAGCGGUGAAAUGCGCAGAUAUCAGGAAGAACACCCGUGGCGAAGGCGGCUCUCUGGGACGGUACUGACGCUGAGACGCGAAAGCGUGGGGAGCGAACAGGAUUAGAUACCCUGGUAGUCCACGCCGUAAACGAUGGGUGCUAGGUGU